UACGUAGGUGGCGAGCGUUAUCCGGAAUGAUUGGGCGUAAAGGGUGCGUAGGCGGGCUGUUAAGUCAGCGGUGAAAUGCCCCCGCUCAACGGGGUGAAGUGCCAUUGAUACUGCCUUGCUGGAAUGCGGAUGCCGUGGGAGGAAUGUGUGGUGUAGCGGUGAAAUGCAUAGAUAUCACACAGAACACCGAUUGCGAAGGCAUCUCACGAAUCCGCGAUUGACGCUGAUGCACGAAAGCGUGGGUAUCAAACAGG
rnacentral:rRNA from 1 species